ACGGGUGAGUAACACGUGAGUAACCUGCCCUUGACUCUGGGAUAAGCCUGGGAAACUGGGUCUAAUACCGGAUAUGACUGAUCAUCGCAUGGUGGUUGGUGGAAAGCUUUUGCGGUUUUGGAUGGACUCGCGGCCUAUCAGCUUGUUGGUGGGGUAAUGGCCUACCAAGGCGACGACGGGUAGCCGGCCUGAGAGGGUGACCGGCCACACUGGGACUGAGACACGGCCCAGACUCCUACGGGAGGCAGCAGUGGGGAAUAUUGCACAAUGGGCGAAAGCCUGAUGCAGCGACGCCGCGUGAGGGAUGACGGCCUUCGGGUUGUAAACCUCUUUCAGUAGGGAAGAAGCCGCAAGGUGACGGUACCUGCAGAAGAAGCGCCGGCUAACUACGUGCCAGCAGCCGCGGUAAUACGUAGGGCGCAAGCGUUAUCCGGAAUUAUUGGGCGUAAAGAGCUCGUAGGCGGUUUGUCGCGUCUGCCGUGAAAGUCCGGGGCUCAACUCCGGAUCUGCGGUGGGUACGGGCAGACUAGAGUGAUGUAGGGGAGACUGGAAUUCCUGGUGUAGCGGUGAAAUGCGCAGAUAUCAGGAGGAACACCGAUGGCGAAGGCAGGUCUCUGGGCAUUAACUGACGCUGAGGAGCGAAAGCAUGGGGAGCGAACAGGAUUAGAUACCCUGGUAGUCCAUGCCGUAAACGUUGGGCACUAGGUGUGGGGGACAUUCCACGUUUUCCGCGCCGUAGCUAACGCAUUAAGUGCCCCGCCUGGGGAGUACGGCCGCAAGGCUAAAACUCAAAGGAAUUGACGGGGGCCCGCACAAGCGGCGGAGCAUGCGGAUUAAUUCGAUGCAACGCGAAGAACCUUACCAAGGCUUGACAUGAACCGGAAACGCCUGGAAACAGGUGCCCCACUUGUGGUCGGUUUACAGGUGGUGCAUGGUUGUCGUCAGCUCGUGUCGUGAGAUGUUGGGUUAAGUCCCGCAACGAGCGCAACCCUCGUUCUAUGUUGCCAGCACGUGAUGGUGGGGACUCAUAGGAGACUGCCGGGGUCAAAUCGGAGGAAGGUGGGGACGACGUCAAAUCAUCAUGCCCCUUAUGUCGUGGGCUUCACGCAUGAUACAAUGGCCGGUACAAAGGGUUGCGAUACUGUGAGGUGGAGCUAAUCCCAAAAAGCCGGUCUCAGUUCGGAUUGGGGUCUGCAACUCGACCCCAUGAAGUCGGAGUCGCUAGUAAUCGCAGAUCAGCAACGCUGCGGUGAAUACGUUCCC
rnacentral:rRNA from 1 species